rnacentral:rRNA from 1 species
UACGUAGGGGGCAAGCGUUGUCCGGAAUCAUUGGGCGUAAAGCGCGUGUAGGCGGCCAGGUAGGUCUGGUGUGAAAACUCGAGGCUUAACCUCGAGAUGUCAUCGGAAACCAUCUGGCUAGAGUCCGGAAGAGGAGAGUGGAAUUCCUGGUGUAGCGGUGAAAUGCGCAGAUAUCAGGAAGAACACCCGUGGCGAAGGCGGCUCUCUGGGACGGUACUGACGCUGAGACGCGAAAGCGUGGGGAGCGAACAGG